rnacentral:rRNA from 1 species
UAAAGCGAAUAAGGGCGUAUGGCGGAUGCCUUGGCACUAAGAGGCGAUGAAGGACGUGGUAAGCUGCGAUAAGCUUCGGGUAGAUGCAUACAAUCGUUAAUCCGAAGAUCUCCGAAUGGGACAACCCGGUAUGUUGAAGACAUAUCACUCGAAAGAGAGCUAACGCAGGGAACUGAAACAUCUAAGUACCUGUAGGAAGAGAAAAUAAUUUAAUGAUUCCCCAAGUAGUGGCGAGCGAACAGGGAAGAGCCCAAACCGUGUCUACGUGUAGAUGCGGGGUUGUAGGACCACAUUUAGAAAUCAAUCUCAAACCGAACGAUCUGGAAAGAUAGACCAUAGCAGGUGAUAGUCCUGUAGGUAGAAAUGAUUGAGGACGCGUGGUAUCCUGAGUAGCGCGGGACCGGAGGAAUCCUGCGUGAAACUGCCAGCACCAUCUGGUAAGGCUAAAUACUCCUUAGUGACCGAUAGUGAACCAGUACCGUAAGGGAAAGGUGAAAAGUACUCCGAAUAGGAGAGUGAAAUAGUACCUGAAACCGUACGCCUACAAGCGGUCGGAGCCUGUUAAAGGGUGACGGCGUGCCUUUUGCAUAAUGAUCCUACGAGUUGCUCCUCACUGGCGAGGUUAAGUUCUUAAGUAACGGAGCCGCAGCGAAAGCGAGUCCAAACAGGGCGCUUUAGUCAGUGGGGGCAGACGCGAAACUUUGUGAUCUAUCCAUGGGCAGGUUGAAGGUUAGGUAAAACUAACUGGAGGACCGAACUCAUUAACGUUGAAAAGUUAUGGGAUGACCUGUGGAUAGGGGUGAAAGGCCAAUCAAACUGAGAGAUAGCUCGUUCUCCCCGAAAUGUUUUUAGGAACAGCGUUGCAUAAUAGAAGUGUAUCAGAGGUAGAGCUACUGAUUGGGCUAGGGGGCUUCACCGCCUACCAAACCCUGACAAACUCCGAAUGCUGAUACAUAUCUGCAGCAGUGAGGCUGUGGGCGCUAAGGUCCAUGGCCGAGAGGGAAAUAACCCAGACCAUCAUCUAAGGUCCCUAAAUCUAUGUUAAGUUGAUCAAACGAAGUUCGAACCCUAAGACAGCCAGGAUGUUGGCUUGGAAGCAGCCAUUCAUUUAAAGAGUGCGUAACAGCUCACUGGUCGAGGGUUCGGGCACGGAAAAUAAUCGGGCAUCAAACAUAGUACCGAAGUUAUGGAUUAAUACUACCGUAUUAGUGGUAGGGGAGCAUUCUAUUCGGCGUCGAAGGUGUAUCGUGAGGUAUGCUGGAGCGGAUAGAAAAGAAAAUGUAGGAAUGAGUAACGAUAAAUAUUGUGAAAAACAAUAUCGCCGAAAGACUAAGGGUUCCUGAUCAACGUUAAUCGGAUCAGGGUUAGUCGGGACCUAAGGCAAACCCGAAAGGGGUAGUCGAUGGCAAACUGGUUAAUAUUCCAGUACCCACUUUAAUUUCGAUGGGGUGACAGAGAAGUGAAACGUCCGCGUACUUACGGAAUAGUACGUUAAAGGGUGUAGUUAUACUACUGGUAGGCAAAUCCGCCGGUGGUGAUGAACCUGAUAGUACCAGAAGGCUUCGGCUGGAUGGAUAGUGACGCUAAUCCUGCUCGCGAGAAAAACCUCUAAGGCUAGGUUAAAGUGGCUCGUACCGUAAACCGACACAGGUAGUCGAGAUGAGUAUUCUAAGGCGCUCGGGUGAGCCGUGGAGAAGGAACUAGGCAAAUUAACGCUGUAACUUCGGGAUAAAGCGUACCAUAGCGAUAUGGUCACAGUAAAAUGGUUCAACCAACUGUUUAGCAAAAACACAGGGCCCUGCAAAAUCGAAAGAUGACGUAUAGAGCCUGAUACCUGCCCGGUGCUGGAAGGUUAAGGAAGGGUGUUCGUAGCAAUACAAAGCUCCUGACUGAAGCCCCAGUAAACGGCGGCCGUAACUAUAACGGUCCUAAGGUAGCGAAAUUCCUUGUCGGGUAAGUUCC